rnacentral:rRNA from 1 species
UAGGGAAUCAUGGUCAAUGGGCGAAAGCCUGAUGCAGCGAUUCCGCGUGGAGGAUGACGCAUUACGGUAUGUAAACUCCUUUUUUGGUGGAAGACGAAUGACGGUACACCAAGAAUAAGGGACGGCUAACUACGUGCCAGCAGCCGCGGUAAUACGUAGGUCCCAAGCGUUAUCCGGAUUUACUGGGCGUAAAGUGUCCGUAGCCGGAUAUACAAGUCUGUUUUCAAAUAUCCUGGCUCAACCAGGAAAAGGGAAUAGAUACUGUAUAUCUAGAGAAUAUUGGAGGUUAGUGGAAUUUCCGGUGGAGCGGUGAAAUGCGUUGAUAUCGGAAAGAACGCCGAAAGCGAAAGCAGCUAACUAUGAUAUUUCUGACGGUGAUGGACGAAAGCUUGAGUAGCAAACG